rnacentral:lncRNA from 1 species
AUGACCCAAACCACCCCUACAUCGUCCGUGUUGCGUCCUAACGCAAAGCACCUUUUGUGGUUUGCAGGACUUGGACUUGCACACCAUCCCAGCUGUCCUCAAAGUCCUGAUCUGAGUACUCGUGGCCGGGGCUGGUGCAGGACCACGCAGGGCUGUGGAGGAACACACACCGGUGUCCUCGUCCCCGCACCGUGCAGACUAGCAGGACAGCACAGCUCCUUUCUGGUAAAAACCUUUCUGGAGGGAACCACAGGGAUGGGAAUGACUGCUGGGGUGCACCUCCAUCCCGCCCUGGUCCUGACGUGUGCGUUUGGCUUCAGAAGCUGGAAGUCUCCCAGGCUCACCACUUUCCCUGUGGCCCAUGUGUCUGCUUUGCCUGGCGGAGCCACUUCCCCCCUCCACCUUUCUCCGCCCAGAACUGCAAUUUCUGUGCCUGAAGUAUGUGUAUUUGUUGUUGCCAGAUGACUUGAUAGAUGACAUGCACCCAGAGCUGCAGCAUCCGUGGCGACCCGCAAGCCCACCUUCCCAAAGUCAUACAGGGUACCUAAACCUCACUGGAAUCAGUAGCCCGACAUAAUCAGUGGGGACCUUGCAUGAACAUCAGCUGUAGUGUCUUAAUUGUUGGUGCUUUUUCUUUCAGCAAGCUAAAGCUGGACCAGGCAAGGCUAUCCCAAGAGGUCAGCAGCCAGUUGGAAAACCCAGGAGCAGUUAUGGGAGCCCAUGGCUGCAUAUCGCUGCUGUGUAACAAUGUGUGUUGUUUUCUCUGUCUUACAUGUUUUAAGGAAAAAAUAAAUAAAUACUGUGGCCUGUUUUUCCUUUCCUC